GCACCGGUUUAAUGAUUUUCUACAAAGGUAGCAAAACUUACUAUAUAUGGAUUGAUAGAUGAUGGAGUGACAGAGAAGAUACCUGAAGGUGGAGCGGACCCUCAGGGAGGUAAAGGACGGGAGAAAGAACAAGUUAAAAGUGGGAAACAAGCAGGGAUGAUGAGAGACAGCCAAGGACAAAUACUGACAUUCUUCACAAAUUUCUUCUGGAAAACUGCACUGUUUCAAAAGACUGUUGGUCUACUGACGCACAGUACAGAGCUUUUGUUUCAGUCCACACAAAAAUACAGCAAUGUGUUCAGAAUGUGCAGGAAGCGUCUGUUAUAUACCUUCCCGCUUUCAUCCCAGGAAAAGUCCAUCCCUCAUCCAUGAUCCACCCGUUUGAAUCUCCAUUCUGUUUGAAGCCAAGCCCAAAGCAGCAACUGCAGCCACACUUAAAAGCAUUUUUUUUAAUUCACAGAAACACACUCUUUGUCAUCUAUGCCUGUGUGUGUGAUGUAAAUACGAAGUUCACAUGUGUCACAAGAUCAUAUAUGUACACAUUUGUUACAGUCCUGCUCAUGUGUUUCCCCGCUCACAUAGAGGCAGCUCAGCUGUGCAUGCUGUAUCUACAAAGGAACAAAGGUGAGGGAGCGGCAUAAGGAUCAGAGAGUGCUGGGGAAGAGCAGUUUCAGUCUUAACAAUAAACUGAGUAUACGUAAAGUGGAUGAAUGGUUGACUCAGUAAACUCCAGCUAUACCACAGUGAAAUAUCUAAUCUGCCUUUCUCCCAACACACAUUUACAGAGUGCUUUAAACACAACAAACAAAUUCCCUAAGUAUUACAAAAAUGAUAAUGCAGUUACAAAAGGACAACUAAGUUAUAAACCUCAUCAAAUCUUCACAAAUUUCUUCUGGAAAACUGCACUGUUUCAAAAGAUUGUUGUCAAAUUUGAACAAAAAAGUUAUACCCGAUUAAUAAGUACUGUUUUCACCAUUUCUUUAAUGACACCUUGAAGGAGGACAAAUAAUUGCUUCCUAUCUUUUGCAGUUUGAAGGGUUCUGAAGGGUUGUGUAUCUACAAAAAAACACUACUUCGUCCACAGAACAAGAAAAAGAGAUAUGAGUGGGCAAAAGCUCACAAAAAUUGGACUUAUGAUGACUAGAAACAAGUUUGAACUGUUUGGUUCAAAAUACAGAGUCUAUGUCUGCAGUCAAACUGGUGAACGUCUGAAAGCACCAUGUGUUACACCCAUAAUUCAGCAUGGAGGUGGUAGUUCCAUGGUAUGGGGAUGUUUAGCAGGUGAUGGAGUAGGAGAUUUGUUUGAAGUAAAGGGUAUCAUGAAGAAGGAACAGUACCAC